UGUCUCCUGAACAGUCCCACAUGGUGGCCUGGGCGGCACGCCUGUGGGAUGGGGAAACCGAGGCACAGACAGUCACGUGCUCUUCCAGUUGCUGGUUAGACCCCACUUGCGGUUGUGUGUUCCAGAAGCCUCCGGGCGCCGUGCGGCAGGAUGAGGAGCUGCCCCCUGGAGGAUCACGCAGGCCUCUGGGCGGCAUUCAGCAGGGUUGGCCGCGGCACCCGCUGACCACAGGGCCCACCUUUCCAGUCCUGGCCGGAGGGAAGCAUCUCAUCCAUGUUGCAGGCGCACGGGUUAGGGUGCCGCCUGCCUCCCUGACUCUGACCUCCCCAAGAGAGGAAAACAAAAGAAAAAAAGAUAGAAAAGACCAGGAAAUGGAAAUAAGACAAAGAAGAAUGAAAUUUAAAAAUCCAAACAAACCCAAACACGCUAUUUCAAAACGGAAGUCCAAGAAGAGUCUUGUGGUGAGAAAGACCGAAUUCCCAGCCAGGAAAACGCCCCAUGCUUGCCCCUCGGAGGCAGGCGCUCCCCACGGCAGAGUCUAUCUAGGUGUUUAUUAAGGUGUCUCACCACGUAUCGCCCGGAUUCGCCAGAGAUGCAGAGCCGGAGGAUACGUUCCUGUUUAAGUUGAUACAUAGUUAUAUAGGUGAAGAGCUUUACGACGAGGAAGCGGCUCACGCGGCCGUGAGGGACCCAGGCAGGAGCUGCUGCUGCUGCCCCAGGUGCGAGUCCUUCCUCCUCAGGGAGGCUCAGCUCCCCGCUGCAGCCAGGCGGGCCCAGGCAGGCCUCCUUGUCCUACAGCACAGACGGCCAAGUGCUGGUCACGGCCACUGCAUCUACACCACCCCUUUCUCAGCAGCAACUCCGUGAGUGCUCGAUGGGAAACUGCGGACAGCAGCCUUGCCAAGCGGACGCCCAGGGCUGACCACCGCAGCCCCUCCAGCCACGUUCCCCAUCAGGGCAGCCUCCUGCUGGCUUUGGCACUGCAGGCAGCACACCAGCGAGGGGUGGGGCUGUGUGCCACGAAGCGUCAUCCGUGGACGUGCCACGAAGUGUUAUUCUUCUUUUGACUUUUUCUGAUGGUUUAAAACUGUAAGAACACGCAGCUCACAGUCUGCGCGGAAGCAGGCGUGUGGCUCCUGCCUCACUGUGGGAGGAAAGAUGUUCUCAGAAGAAACGGCCGGGUUUGCGGAGGGGUUUGUGGAGGGCCGGGCAGUCUGAAUGCAGCCCAGCUGGCCUUGGUGGAGGUGGGGCUGGCACAGGGGGGUGGGGGCAGUUCUUCCUGAUGCAAAUCCUAACGCCUUCAACACUGACCUUCCAAAGAAACAGCUGCUGGACACCGCCUGACAGCAACAAGAGCUCCACUUCUGAGGCGCGCGACUCUCGAGGGCUUUGUUGUUUAUUUGGCACCCGAGGCCUAGGCUCACAGGAUCUCGGGUGUACGGGACCCCCCCAGCCCUUCCCACUGCUCUGCGAUUCUGCCUCCUUUCCGGAAAGCCAUUUGGUGGAGACUCUGAGAGCCUGAACUUAGAAGCCUGCUGAGAGGGGAAAUGGCGGCCUCCGGGGGGUGGGCAGCCUGGCCGUGGAGCGCGCGGGACUCAGGGCCACCGUCCUCCCGAGACAGCGGCAGCAGUCGCCACUCACCGAGCGGAAUUAAAAACGGCUCUCUGGUUGCCACGGCAACCAGCCGUCUCCCCUCCAGCGUCAGUUUGAAUUUGUGCAGACCAUUCCUAGCCAAGAUUCAAGCCAACAGAUUCGUGCUUACCCUGAGGUGAAGCCUCGUUUGAGAACCAAAUAAUAAAAUUAACAAACCUAAAA